CGGGCUUUUAGUGACUCGCGAAUCAGACAAUCGAAAUGGAUCGCUUGUGUGACUCAAUUUUGUUUUGGGUGAUUGACAGUUUCGGGAGGCAUCCACCACAUCCAUUGCAAGCACAUGGUCGGUGACUAAAAAAGCAAUGGUUAUGAGGGUAUAUUUUUCACAGUGUUUGAUGGACCGAGCAAGCUCUAUCGAAAUAAUGGAAACCCCAAAGGUGCACAGUCUGACGCUGGGUCAGAUCAUCCGCCUCAACACGGGCUACAAGGAUGCGCCCGGUGAUAUCUUCUCUACCAAUCAUUGCGAAGGCGUUCAAGACUAUCAUUCCCAAUUCGGAACCAGGAUAAGAAACCGUCAAUAUCGGAGUGUGCAGAAUGCAGGGAAUGUGAGAAAUGCAGGGCUCCAAGAAAUGCAAGGACCGAGGAAGGUGGAUCGGAAUCUAGUACGGUAAUAUGGCUUGCGGUGGUUUGUGGCGUUCUGGCUAUCGCUGUAUUAGCGUUAGGGUUCACUUGGUUCUAUGUUACUAGAGCGAGAAACCAGCCAUCACACACUUACGAGCCUCCUCCACCUUGCGAAAUGGAUAUGCUACCAGUGACGCUUAAAGACACAGGUAUCCCAAUUACUAUGAUUUGAAGAAGUAUCACCGGCACUAUUAUAAUGAUAGAUAAGUAAAUAAUAAUAUAUAUUAAUAAGAACAAUGAUUAAUAUAGGGGAUGCCGAGGGACAGUUGAUAUUGUUGAAGGGCUUGUAUUUAUAUCAUUCUUGAUUAUUGCAUACAAAAUAAUUUCUAUAAAUCUAAGAUUUUCAUAACAUGUUAUUCCCUCGCCCGUAUCACAAGAACUAUGGUAUAAGCAUGGAAUGGAAAGAGUAGAGUUAAAAAAAAACUACUGCAUAAUGAAAUGACUUUGUCUGGCAACAUUUAUUUAUCAAAUGCAACUGUAGAAUUCACAAACAUUAAGAAAUGCGUUGUUAUAGUUCAAUUUUUAAGUACAAUUGUAUAAAAGGAUGUUUAACAUUAGCAAAGACUUCUAAUCAAACAUUUAUAAAAAAGGGAUUUUUAUGUACGAAACUGAAAACUGCACACAACACAUGCAAUGCUAUCAUUCUACUGCGAUACCUCGGUGAUCACACAUAUAUUAAUUCUAUUUCAAAGUAUAAAUAAAUUACUUCGAGAAAAUAAAUUUCACAUUUACAAAACCACUCGAUAAAAUAACAUCACAGGAAUCCCAAAUCAUACAGACGUGUCCCAGAGGUGUUAUCCUAGCCACUUGGGAACCCUGUGGUUCUAAUAACAACUUGCUUUACUUUUUCUAUAUAUGGCUAUACAUCUCUCUAAUACAGACGUGCCCAGAGGUGUUAUCCUAGCCACUUGGGA